GUGAACGCUGGCGGUAGGCCUAACACAUGCAAGUCGAACGGCAGCACCGUAAGAGCUUGCUCUUACGGGUGGCGAGUGGCGGACGGGUGAGGAAUACAUCGGAAUCUACUUUUUCGUGGGGGAUAACGUAGGGAAACUUACGCUAAUACCGCAUACGACCUACGGGUGAAAGCAGGGGAUCUUCGGACCUUGCGCGAUUGAAUGAGCCGAUGUCGGAUUAGCUAGUUGGCGGGGUAAAGGCCCACCAAGGCGACGAUCCGUAGCUGGUCUGAGAGGAUGAUCCGCCACACUGGAACUGAGACACGGUCCAGACUCCUACGGGAGGCAGCAGUGGGGAAUAUUGGACAAUGGGCGCAAGCCUGAUCCAGCCAUACCGCGUGGGUGAAGAAGGCCUUCGGGUUGUAAAGCCCUUUUGUUGGGAAAGAAAAGCGGCAGGUUAAUACCCCGCUGUUCUGACGGUACCCAAAGAAUAAGCACCGGCUAACUUCGUG
rnacentral:rRNA from 1 species